UGGUGGUAAAGGUGCAUCGU
rnacentral:siRNA from 1 species